AGAGUUUGAUCCUGGCUCAGAACAAACGCUGGCGGCGUGCCUAACACAUGCAAGUCGGAUGUGCCGCAAGGUGCAUGGCAGACGGGUGAGUAACGCGUGGGGAAUCUACCUCUUUGUGGGGAAUAACGCUCCGAAAGGAGUGGUAAUACCGCAUGAGACCAAUGGCUGGAAUGUUGUUGGUGAAACCUGGGGACCGCAAGGCCUGGGGCAAGGAGAGGAUCCUGCGUCUGAUUAGCUAGUUGGCGGGGUAACGGCCCACCAAGGCGACGAUCAGUAGCCGGCCUGAGAGGGUGAUCGGCCACACUGGAACUGAGACACGGUCCAGACUCCUACGGGAGGCAGCAGUGGGGAAUUUUGCGCAAUGGGCGAAAGCCUGACGCAGCAACGCCGCGUGGGUGAUGAAGGUCUUCGGAUCGUAAAACCCUGUCGUCAGGGACGAAGGUCUGGGGGUUAAUAACCCUUAGGCUUGACGGUACCUGGAGAGGAAGCCCCGGCUAACUCUGUGCCAGCAGCCGCGGUAAUACAGAGGGGGCAAGCGUUAUUCGGAAUUAUUGGGCGUAAAGGGCGCGUAGGCGGUUUUUUAAGUCAGAUGUGUAAUCCCCGAGCUCAACCCAGGAAGUGCAUUGGAUACUGUCAGACUUGAAUACGGGAGAGGGUAGUGGAAUUCCUAGUGUAGGAGUGAAAUCCGUAGAUAUUAGGAGGAACACCGGUGGCGAAGGCGGCUACCUGGACCGAUAUUGACGCUGAGACGCGAAAGCGUGGGUAGCAAACAGGAUUAGAUACCCUGGUAGUCC
rnacentral:rRNA from 1 species